UAUUUAUAUCGUCCGAAUAAAAAGUGUAUGCAAAGUGACGGAAGACGCUUCAGGCUGUCUGCAGUGAUGGCAGAAGCCUGGUAGCUUGGGCCCCAUCAUGCCACUUGUGUGUUUUGCUGCAUAUUGCUGAGUCGUUGGAAACAGUGAGUUGUGAGAAAGUUAACUUUGGUGCUUUUGAUUCUUAGGGCCAGUGGGGAGUGACAGCGGCAGAUGAGGAGGAGGAGAACAGGAGGAUUCAGGAAUUUCAAGAGUCCAUACCGAAAAUGUGUUCCCAGCUGCGGAUCCUGACGCACUUUUAUCAGGGCCCUCAGCGCUCCGGUCAGCACGACUGCCAGGGAGUGAGCAGCAGCUUGUCACGGGCUGCUUGGUAUCGUGCAGCAGUUUCUGGUGUUAUUGACGACCAGCCCUGAUGAAAGUCUCCGGUUCCUCAGCUUCAGGCUGGACUUUAACGAGCACUACAAGGCCAGGGAGCCCAGGCUCCGAGUGUCUCUGGGCUCCAGGGGACGGCGCACGUCCCACACGUGAGGGCAGAAGACUCCGUCUGUUCACACCAGCUCACGACGGGUGGUCGGGGGCCAGCUUGCCACUGGCGGCCGCCUCUGCCUGAGGGCUGUAGUGUGUGUCGGUGGCCUGGCAUCCAGCAGGGUUGCAGUCACGCGGUGUCCACCAGAAGCGAAUGUGCCGUUGCUGGGUUGGUAGACUGCGCCCUCUGGUCAGCUCAUCUGGGCCAUGCUCACAGUGCAGACGCCAGGACGCGGGGUGGGGGUGGGGGGGUGGGGGGGCUGCGUGCGCACUCCAGGGUGUCGCUUGUAUUGAUCACAGUCCUGUUAGCCAGCAUAGGGCGUGGUGUGUUCAGAAUAAUGUCAAUGCUAUUUUUUUAACAUCCUCUUUAGAGGAAGUUUUUGUUACCAUAAUAAACUGAAACAAGAUGUCCCUGCUAAGAAAACACAGAGCAUUUUAUUUGGGUUUUUGUGUUGUGAAAUGCUCACCUGCGAGUGUAUUUAUCUUAAUGCUCCCCUUUGUUUGCUUGCUCUUACCUCUUCUCGCAAGGUUUACAUUUUUAUAUUUCCUGUUUCGUGUAACUUCCAAACCAGUACAGAGAAGAGUAGGAGCGGCCCGGAACACAAGCAGAUGUAGCCCAGGCCUCGAGAAGCCCUUGGCCAGAGCGGUGUGUAAAUACAGAUGACUCAAGGGUAAAUGAAGGAUUGUAUUUUCAGAUUCUUCCAAGCACUGGAAAGAAAUUGACUUGGAUAAUGAAGACUUCCUUUUUCCUCACCUAUUUUUUUCACUGUAAAUAUUUAUAUACUACUGACCAGAUGUUGGGAGGAACGGUUUUUUGUAAAAGCAAAAUGUCAUAUCAAGUCACAU
rnacentral:lncRNA from 1 species